GACGAACGCUGGCGGCGUGCUUAACACAUGCAAGUCGAACGAUGAAGCCGGAGCUUGCUCUGGUGGAUUAGUGGCGAACGGGUGAGUAACACGUGAGUAACCUGCCCUUGACUCUGGGAUAAGCGUUGGAAACGACGUCUAAUACCGGAUACGAGCUAGGACCGCAUGGUCACUAGCUGGAAAGAAUUUCGGUCAAGGAUGGACUCGCGGCCUAUCAGUUAGUUGGUGAGGUAACGGCUCACCAAGACGACGACGGGUAGCCGGCCUGAGAGGGUGACCAGCCACACUGGGACUGAGACACGGCCCAGACUCCUACGGGAGGCAGCAGUGGGGAAUAUUGCACAAUGGGCGCAAGCCUGAUGCAGCAACGCCGCGUGAGGGACGACGGCCUUCGGGUUGUAAACCUCUUUUAGCAGGGAAGAAGCGCAAGUGACGGUACCUGCAGAAAAAGCCCCGGCUAACUUCGUGCCAGCAGCCGCGGUAAAAC
rnacentral:rRNA from 1 species